AAAUUGAAGAGUUUGAUCAUGGCUCAGAUUGAACGCUGGUGGCAGGCCUAACACAUGCAAGUCGAACGGUAACAGGAAGCAGCUUGCUGUUUCGCUGACGAGUGGCGGACGGGUGAGUAAUGUCUGGGAAACUGCCUGAUGGAGGGGGAUAACUACUGGAAACGGUAGCUAAUACCGCAUAACGUCGCAAGACCAAAGAGGGGGACCUUCGGGCCUCUUGCCAUCGGAUGUGCCCAGAUGGGAUUAGCUAGUAGGUGGGGUAACGGCUCACCUAGGCGACGAUCCCUAGCUGGUCUGAGAGGAUGACCAGCCACACUGGAACUGAGACACGGUCCAGACUCCUACGGGAGGCAGCAGUGGGGAAUAUUGCACAAUGGGCGCAAGCCUGAUGCAGCCAUGCCGCGUGUAUGAAGAAGGCCUUCGGGUUGUAAAGUACUUUCAGCGGGGAGGAA
rnacentral:rRNA from 1 species